rnacentral:lncRNA from 1 species
AGAUUUUUAAAAUCCUAAUCUAUGGCAAGUUUUGUAAUUUCCUAAUCUAUGGCGGAUUUUUGUUGUUUCCAAAUCUAUGGCAGAUUUUGUGCAAAUGUAGAACAAGGCAGUACACAUACGAUCACUAACUUGUGUUAAAUAAGUUGACCUGUACGACAACGGGAGCAUGUCUAAAUUAUUUGUGAAAUAAAAAUUCCAUAAUGGCCAAC